UAUAUAUUACCUCCGUUCGAAAAUAUUUGUCAUCAAAAUGGAUAAAAAGAGAUGUAUCUAGAAUUAAAAUACGUCUAGAUACAUCCUCUUUUUCUAUUUUGAUGACAAGUAUUUUCGGACGAAGGAAGUAUAAA
rfam:Triticum urartu cultivar G1812 contig293555, whole genome shotgun sequence.